CAGGUACAAUGUUCCAUCCCUGAGCUCUUUUGAGGCCGUGUGGCUGCUGUCAUCUCACCAGGCUGGAUCAGAUCUCCCAGAAAAACCCCAGGUAGCUCCCUCAAGCCUGAACAUCCUCAUUCUCCCUCAUCACUAAGAGAAAGGGAAUGUUGUGCUGCAGAGACCUUCUCCAGGGAAGUUUGGAAAACACCAGGGACAAGCACGAGGUUCUGGGCUGCAGCCACAGGGAACAGUCCUGCUGCUUCCCACUGCUUCUUCCAGAUGUUCCUCGGCUCUACCAACUUCAUUUGGGGUCUCCCUUCAACGUCCCCCCAAGGUGCUGCACCCUGACUCGGCAGGACAAAGUCUUGGAGGCCUCUGAGGCUUCUGGAUAUCUUUGGUGUGUGUUGGCACAAAGGCAGUCCAGCCAGGACAGAUUCUCCUUGUG
rnacentral:lncRNA from 1 species